UACGAAGGGGGCUAGCAUUGUUCGGAAUUACUGGGCGUAAAGCGCGCGUAGGCGGUGAUACAAGUCAGGGGUGAAAUCCCAGAGCUCAACUCUGGAAUUGCCUUUGAAACUGUAUCGCUGGAGUCUCGAAGGGGGUAGUGGAAUUCCUAGUGUAGGGGUGAAAUCCGUAGAUAUUAGGAGGAACACCGGUGGCGAAGGCGGCUACCUGGUCGAGUACUGACGCUGAGGCGCGAAAGCGUGGGGAUCAAAC
rnacentral:rRNA from 1 species